UCGAACAUAACAGUUGGUUUGCCUUUCAACCAAGCUGUUAAUAUUGGAUUCCAAUUCAAUAUGGAGGAACUCAUAUACACCAUACCUGUGAGUUGAGAAUAUCCCAUCUGUCCAAUCAUUGGUUGCGACAUCCAACGAUCCAAACAUCUGGGACGCUGUGAUCGCUUUUGGGUUCAUUCGCAUCUCACGUUCUUCUAAGCAUGUCAUUGAUGUCCUCACAUCAUCCAAGUCGUUCAAAGAUCGGUUGAAACCUUUCCCUACGUUCUCCACAAAUGUGAAGAUGUCCUGCAAGAUACAGAUCCAACUCUAUUCCUUUAAUCUCCGCAAACUUUUCAAGCGUUGACACCGCCUGUGCUGCCUGUAAUGUCCUUGAGAAACACAACUCCACUAAACCCUGUAUCCCUUCACGAAUGCUCGAUAUCUGGUUCAUGAAAUCAUCAUAAUCUUCACGGAACUCACGACAACGAUGAUUCAGGUAACUUUGAUUGACAAGUGACUUUGAUUGAAAGAUGAAUUUGAUUGACAGAUGACUUUGGUUGGCGGAUGAAUUUGAUUGACAGAUGACUUUGGUUGACAGAUGAAUUUGGUUGACAAAUGAAUUUGAUUAACAGGUGUACUUGAUUGACAGGUAAAGGUAUGUAGUCUUACACUAUCAAC